AUGAAGCAAAUUGUUACCAACGCUUCUUCUAUUACCCAAAAAGCAAAGAAUGGUUUGGAAACUGAAACAAUGGUAAUGGUAUUGUGUAAUUAGUAAAAUUACAUUUGUUUCACAAUUAAUAUAUCUUUUUUGGUAAUUUUAUAUUAGAGUCAAUUAGUAAUUCAAUAAAUAGUUUGGUAGUAGAGUGUACUCAGUUAAUUUUAGAGUUCGUUUAAUAGUACUCUUAAUUUAUCGGCUUGUUUAGAUUACAAAUUUUGAAGAAAUUAAGGUAAAAUGGUAUAGGAAAGAAGAUAUAUAUUUGAGGUGAAGAUGAAGAGUGGCAUGAAGAACCAGUUUGUUGUCAAUCAAGAUUCAAAUAGUUGCCAUCAGAACUUUUAUGUGAUACUACUUUUAAAAUUAUGAUCACCUAAUGUAGAUUGCAGAGCCAUUGGAGAGAGGACUUGCGGAGGACAUUGACACAAGGGACCUAACAUUCUAUUAG
rnacentral:lncRNA from 1 species